rnacentral:other from 1 species
AUCGGUUUGGAAUACAGACCUUAUAAAAGCAGUUUAGUAAAGCAGUCCUCAGUUCACGGUGUUAUCAAUAGAUACUCUUCUUCGUGAGCCUCCUCCUAAGUGCCAAAUAAGUUACUCUCUAAAUACAGGCCAUCAUCGCCGCGCUUAGUGGCUCAAAAAAUAAGGAAUUAUCUAUGUCUAAUAAAAUGACUGGUUUAGUAAAAUGGUUUAACGCUGAUAAAGGUUUUGGCUUUAUCACGCCUGACGACGGCAGCAAAGAUGUA